rnacentral:lncRNA from 1 species
UUGGCCCCAUACUUCAAAUUAGAAGGAAGUAAACCGAACUCGCUCUGAAAUAGUUUUCCCCAGAAACGUGCUCUUAAUUUGUAUAAAUGUAUAAAAUGUACAAAAUGUAUAAAAUAUACAAAAUGUAUAAAAUGUAUAAAAUGUACAAAGUGCAUAAAAUGCAUAUAAAUAUAUAUAAAUAUAUAUAAAUAUGUAUAAAUAUAUAUAAAUAUGUAUAAAUAUAUAUACGUGCGUUUUAAUACAUACAUAGAAAAUACGCAUAUAUAAAUAUAUUUACUUGGUUAAGAAAUAAAAAAAUUAUACUUCUUUUUUGAAAAAUUCAUUUUAAUUAACACUAAAUGUUUAAAAAGUAAAAAAAAGUCAACCUUUUUUUUUUUUUUUUUUUUUUUUUUUUUUUUUUUUUUUUUUUUUUUUGUUUUGUUUUGUUUUUUUUUUUUUUUUUUUUUACUUAAUAAAAUAAAAUAUAUUAUACAAGGACGUUACUACUUUUUAAAACUAGUUAUAAUAUCAACAACAUAUAACAAAUAGAAACAAUUUGAACAAACAUUUUAAUGUAAAAACGAACUUUUUUUUUUUUUUUUUUUAAACAUUUGUACGAACGCUUAUAUAAUAAUUCGAACAAACGUUAGUAAACUAUAAAUAUAUUAGUACAAUCAUUUAUACAUUCAAUAUACCACUUAUACAUUAUUAAUACAUGAUUAAUAUAUUAUUAAUAUGUUUAUUAAUGAUGUAUUUAAGUAAACAUUAAUUCAUUAGAUAUGUAUAUACCCACCGUUUGUACAUACUGUAAACAAUAAAAACAGCUAUGAAGGAAACGAAAAGGAACCUAAUGAAAUGAAAAGAAAAAACGAAGGAAAUGGCCGUAAAAGUUUAAAACGACUUAGACAGAAACCUAUCAAUAAUAACAUAGAAACAGAUGAGGAAGAAAAUGUAACUGAUUUGGAUGAACAAAAAAACGUUCAAGUUAAUUCUAAAAGCCCAAUUUAUGAUAAUAACAAAAGUUUUAGUAAUGAUAGUUCUCUUUACAAAAAAAGUAAAAAAAUUAUAGGAGAGGAUUACAAUAGUUAUAAUAGUAAUAGUGAAGAAAAUGAAAUGGAAAAACCAGAUAUUCUCAAUAUUGGUAUUAAAAAAACGAACAAAAGUUCUACUUCAAGUGAUAAUAAUUUUAUAAGUGACAGCAAUAAUAAUAAUAAUAAUAAUAAUAAUAAUAAUAAUAAUAAUAAUAAUAAUAAUAAUAAUAAUAAUAAUAAUAAUAANNNNNNNNNNAAUAAUAAUAAUAAUAAUAAUAAUAAUAAUAAUAAUAAUAAUAAUAACUAUAAAAAUAUAGAUAAAGAAGUUGAAAAUGUACAAACAAAUGAAUGUACUUUUUACCCUUCCCAUAAUGUAAAUAAAAUAGAUCAAUUAAAAAUACUUAAAAACAAUUAUUUGAAUAUACCAGUUGCUUUAUUAUAUCCUGAAGAGGAAAAUAUACCAAACAUAGAAUCUAUUAUAUAUACAAUGAAUUAUUAUACAGCUGAAUGGGCUCACAUAUCUUAUAAUAUGAAAAAUCUAAAACUUUUUACAAAGAACAAAAAAAAACAAAAACAAGAAAUAUCAGUUACAGAAUUAGUAAAUAAAUUACAUAAACAAAAUAAAAAAAUUAUGGUUUAUUGGGGUUCAACUGAUAAAGGAGAAAAAGAAGAUAUACAAUUUUAUAUUAAUUUAAAUGUAGAAUCUCUUUGUGUGAAUGAUUUUGAUGUAACUAAAAAAGCCUUAGCCAACACAUAGUUAUUAAUUUUAGGGACUUCCAAAAAAAAAAAAAAAAAAAGUGCUACCCCUUUUUUAGUGUUUAUACAUAAUCAUUUGUCUAUGUACACACACAUACAUACACAUAUAUAUUAUACAAUCAUGAUCUUAAAUAUUAUGAUGAAUAUGUAGGGGUAACACUCCACAACUAUGCGCAUAUUUUUUACAAUAUAAUUAUUCUUUUUUAAUAAUAAUUACAGAAUUUUAUUUAAAACACCAUAUAUUUUGGUUUAUUUGGUUUAUUUGUUUUAACAGGUUUACUUGUUUUAAUUGUUUUAACAGGUUUACUUNNNNNNNNNNUACUUGUUUUAAUUGUUUUAACAGGUUUACUUGUUUUAAUUGUUUUAUUUUGUUUAUUUACUUUUUUUUUUUUUUUGCUUCAUUUGUUUUUGAUUUUUUUAAUAUUAACUUUAUGCUUUCAAAUGAAGUGAAAAACUGCCCUAUUUUCAACCAUACAUUAUUGUAUUAAUGUAUAUAUAUAUAUAUAUAUAUAUAUAUAUAUAUAUAUAUAUAUAUAUAUAUAUUUGUUUAAACACUAUUAUGAAAUAUUACAUAGCACUUAUUUUAAUAGUCUCACAAGGCAGUUUUUAUAUAUAUGAAAAAAAUAUAUGCAUAUGCGUAUAUAUAUUGUACAUUUUUAAUUUUUUCCAUUUUGUAAAACAUUUUUUACUUCACAAAAAUGUGAAUAACUGCUAUAUAAUUUUUCACACAUGUUUGUUGUAAAAAUUUAUUCAGUUAACAUAUCUUUAGUACAUUAUUUUUAUUUGCAAAGUUUUUAUAAUUUUUAUUUUUUAAAAAAAAGUUUUUUCCCUUAAUUCGAAAAAUUGUGUACAUAUAUAAACGUGCGUAUAUACAUAUAUAUAUUUGUAUAUAUGUGUAUAUAUAUAAACAUAUGUAUAAAAAUAUGAACAUAUUUUAAAAAGGCUUAAACAUGCUUAAAAAUGCUUAAAAAAGUUAGCAUUGUUACAUUAGUGUUUGUAUACACAUGUAUGUACUUUCCUUUUGAACAUGCUGGAAAUUUUAGCAUUUAUGCAAGUUUAAAAAAAAAAUAGGGACAAAAAAACAAGUUGAGUACCUAGCAUAAACGUAAGGUAUUUUUCAUUAUAAAUAAAAAAAAAAAAAUAAAAUAAAAUAAUAAUAUA